rnacentral:rRNA from 1 species
ACAUCCAGCGAACUUGGCAGAGAUGCCUUGGUGCCUUCGGGAACGCUGAGACAGGUGCUGCAUGGCUGUCGUCAGCUCGUGUUGUGAAAUGUUGGGUUAAGUCCCGNAACGAGCGCAACCCUUAUCCUUUGUUGCCAGCGAUUCGGUCGGGAACUCAAAGGAGACUGCCGGUGAUAAACCGGAGGAAGGUGGGGAUGACGUCAAGUCAUCAUGGCCCUUACGAGUAGGGCUACACACGUGCUACAAUGGCGCAUACAAAGAGAAGCGACCUCGCGAGAGCAAGCGGACCUCAUAAAGUGCGUCGUAGUCCGGAUCGGAGUCUGCAACUCGACUCCGUGAAGUCGGAAUCGCUAGUAAUCGUGGAUCAGAAUGCCACGGUGAAUACGUUCCCGGGCCUUGUACACACCGCCCGUCACACCAUGGGAGUGGGUUGCAAAAGAAGUAGGUAGCUUAACCUUCGGGAGGGCGCCUACCACUUUGUGAUUCAUGACUGGGGUGAAGUCGUAACAAGGUAAGCGUAGCGAG